CACCGUGUGAUUUAAAUGGGCAUGGAAGAACCUUCAUACAGAAAGACUCCUCCUCUUCUAUGCUGACACAUUCCAAAAUGCCAUCUGAUGGCACAAAAAAUAAAAAGAGUGGCAUUGGAUAUGAGGUGGCAAGGGAAACUAAGAGUCUUAGUCAAGAAGGACUUUUCGCCAAAUUAAAUGGGGCACUUCCAAAUUAAAAUGGCAUGG
rnacentral:lncRNA from 1 species